CCGGCAUAACCCCGGGAAACUGGGGAUAAUUCCGGAUAACACACAUAUGCUGGAAUGCUUUAUGCGUAAAAUGGAUUCGUCUGCCCAAGGAUGGGUCUGCGGCCUAUCAGGUAGUAGUGGGUGUAAUGUACCUACUAGCCAACAACGGGUACGGGUUGUGAGAGCAAGAGCCCGGAGAUGGAUUCUGAGACAUGAAUCCAGGCCCUACGGGGCGCAGCAGGCGCGAAAACUUUACAAUGCGGGAAACCGUGAUAAGGGGACACCGAGUGCCAGCAUCAUAUGCUGGCUGUCCGGGUGUGUAAAAUACACCUGUUAGCAAGGGCCGGGCAAGACCGGUGCCAGCCGCCGCGGUAACACCGGCGGCCCGAGUGGUGAUCGUGAUUAUUGGGUCUAAAGGGUCCGUAGCCGGUUUGGUCAGUCCUCCGGGAAAUCUGAUAGCUCAACUAUUAGGCUUUCGGGGGAUACUGCCAGGCUUGGAACCGGGAGAGGUAAGAGGUACUACAGGGGUAGGAGUGAAAUCUUGUAAUCCCUGUGGGACCACCUGUGGCGAAGGCGUCUUACCAGAACGGGUUCGACGGUGAGGGACGAAAGCUGGGGGCACGAACCGGAUUAGAUACCCGGGUAGUCCCAGCCGUAAACGAUGCUCGCUAGGUGUCAGGCAUGGCGCGACCGUGUCUGGUGCCGCAGGGAAGCCGUGAAGCGAGCCACCUGGGAAGUACGGCCGCAAGGCUGA
rnacentral:rRNA from 1 species